rnacentral:rRNA from 1 species
AUUGAACGCUGGCGGAAUGCUUUACACAUGCAAGUCGAACGGCAGCACGGACUUCGGUCUGGUGGCGAGUGGCGAACGGGUGAGUAAUGUAUCGGGACGUGCCCAGUCGUGGGGGAUAACGUAGUGAAAAUUACGCUAAUACCGCAUACGAUCUAUGGAUGAAAGCGGGGGAUCGCAAGACCUCGCGCGAUUGGAGCGGCCGAUUUCAGAUUAGGUAGUUGGUGGGGUAAAGGCCCACCAAGCCAACGAUCUGUAGCUGGUCUGAGAGGACGACCAGCCACACUGGAACUGAGACACGGUCCAGACUCCUACGGGAGGCAGCAGUGGGGAAUUUUGGACAAUGGGCGAAAGCCUGAUCCAGCCAUUCCGCGUGCAGGGUGAAGGCCCUCGGAUUGUAAACUGCUUUUGUACAGAACGAAAAGGUUUCUACUAAUACUAGGAGCUCAUGACGGUACUGUAAGAAUAAGCACCGGCUAACUACGUGCCAGCCGCCGCAGUAA